GACGAACGCUGGCGGCGCGCUUAACACAUGCAAGUCGAGCGAGAACCGGGGCUUCGGCCCCGGGGACAGCGGCGAACGGGUGAGUAACACGUGAGUAACCUGCCCUCGGCACCGGAAUAGCCCGGGGAAACUCGGAUUAAUGCCGGAUAGCCCCUCUGCCCUGCGGGGCGGCGGGAAAAGGUAGCUUCGGCCUCUGGCCGAGGAUGGGCUCGCGGCGGAUUAGCUUGUUGGCGGGGUAACGGCCCACCAAGGCGACGAUCCGUAGCUGGUCUGAGAGGACGAUCAGCCACACUGGGACUGAGACACGGCCCAGACUCCUACGGGAGGCAGCAGUGGGGAAUUUUGGACAAUGGGGGCAACCCCGAUCCAGCCAUGCCGCGUGAGUGAAGAAGGCCUUCGGGUUGUAAAGCUCUUUCGGCCGGGAAGAGAUCGCACGGGCUAAUACCCUGUGUGGAUGACGGUACCGGAAUAAGAAGCACCGGCUAACUACGUGCCAGCCGCCGCCGUAACAC
rnacentral:rRNA from 1 species